rnacentral:lncRNA from 12 species
GGGGGGGGGGGGGGGGGGGGGGGGGGGGGGGGGGGGGGGGGGGGGGGGGGGGGGGGGGGGGGGGGGGGGGGGGGUGCCGGUGCCGCCGCUCGCCCCCCCGCGCUCCCGGAGCCGGCGCUCCGCCCGCCCCGCGCACGCGCAGUGGGCGCUUCCCUCCGCUACGGGCCGGGAAUGGUUCGGGUUGGGAGGGACGGGGAGAAUCAGCCAGUUCCACCCCCUGCCGCGGACAGGGACACCUUCCACCCGGACAGGCUGCUCCCAGCUGCCGCCAGCCUGGCCUUGGACACCCCCAGGGCUCCAGGGGCAGCCACAGCUGCUCUGGGCACAGGGCCGCGCCACCCUCCCGUCCUCAGCAUCGGGGGUGCAUUCCAGGAUCUCCCCCCCGGGUCCCAAGGAAAACAACAGCUGAAGGCAGAGGAGGAGACACGCAAAACAGGUUUUCUUCUAAGGUCUAUUUGAACACUUCUUGAUUGUUUUCAUCAUUAGAUGAGUCUGGAAAGAAGUAGAGGCAAGGCAUGGGAAACCUUAAAAAGGAGGAAAAGCUUCCUGGAGUUUUUUUAGUGUGGUACAGAAAAAGGAAGUCAUCGAGUCACCUCAGCUUCUCCAUGUAAAUGUCACAAAAAGGUUUGGGAGUUGUGCUCCUGCAGCAAGGAUUCGGUUCCUUGGCUUUGAAAGGAUGCAAAAGGCAAAGAAAGGCAAAUUCCGGAUGGAAAUAAGGACCGUGUCCUAACAGAGAGGGUGCUCAGCCACCAGAACAAG